rnacentral:misc_RNA from 1 species
UCUCUCUCUCCCUCUCUCUCUCUACACAAAUGAAAAGGAAAGCUGGAUUUUAGAGCAGAAGAAAAGAUACACCAAGUCUUUUCAAUCUCACCUGCACUGUUCCAUCCGUUCUCUGGAACCUCACUUCACUUCAUUUCUUUUCCCAACUUUCUUUUGCCUAUUAGACGGCCGAUCAAUGAGAACAGAAAUCAGAAAGAUCUCCAAGUCUGCUUGGCCUAAAGUAGUUGCGCGGAAAUGGCUAAAUAUACAGAGUGGAGCAGACGAGUUUCAUUCCGAUUAUUGCAUAAGAGACAAAGCUGAGGGAAGGAAGAGCUGUUCAGACGGGGACUAUUACGUUUUCGUACCAGAAGACUUAUCAGGUAAUACGACUGUAGACUUUGUUAAGUACAGAUGUGGAUCUCAGCCGUCAAAUCUCAUUACUCUAAUUUACUCUUUAGCGCAUUUUAGCCGUCAGAUUUAAUUUGAUUAAAUAUGAUUGGACAUUGGAAAAGAAGGGGUCCGUUGUUUUUGGUUGGGUCCCGUCAUUGGUUUGGUGGUGCGUUACUGUGCCACGUGGAUCGCGGGGGUACAGGGGAUUCUAUGCUCUGUUUGGAUUGUUCGUCAUGCGUUUUCGUUUUCUUAUUAUUUAUAUAUAUAUUUUUUAAUUAAAUUUUUAUUAGAAGGGUGGUUGAUGGAAGCCAGUAAUGGAGUUAAACGGUCAAAAAUGGAGCAGCAGGAAGCAUCACCUCCCACCGAUUCUCUCAAUCUCAGGAUGUUCGUGGGUACAUGGAAUGUUGGAGGGAAGUGUCCCCACGAGGGUCUCAACUUGAGAGAUUGGCUAAAGUCGCCUGCUCCUGCUGACAUUUAUGUUCUCGGGUUCCAGGAAAUUGUGCCCCUGAAUGCAGGGAACGUACUUGGAGCAGAGGACAAUGGCCCAGCUGUCAAGUGGCUUUCCCUAAUUCGACAAGCACUCAACAAGAAUAAAAAUGACCAAGAAUUUCCUCAAUAUUACAAAAAUGCUACUGAAGCUAAACAUUCAUCUUCACCACAAGCUGAUCAACAAGCUUGCUUCAAACCUAGAGUCAGCUUUUCUGACUUGCUUUCAUUAGAAGAUGAGCUUGGGAAUGAGGAUUUUAAAAGAUUACUAUGCUUAAGUGAAGACGGCUCUCCUAGCCCACCUUGCUUCUCUGCAGGCAGUCCAAUGAGGCAGCAUUACUGCCUAGCAGUUAGCAAGCAAAUGGUUGGAAUCUUCUUAUGCGUGUGGGUUCGAUCAGACCUCUACAAACAUAUUAGUAAUUUGAAGGUCUCAUGUGUUGGUCGUGGCAUUAUGGGUUACCUUGGCAACAAGGGCUCGAUUUCGAUCAGUAUGACAUUGCACCAGACAACAUUUUGCUUUGUUUGCACGCACUUGACUUCUGGGGAGAAAGAAGGCGAUGAGGUCAGAAGAAACUCAGAUGUCACUGAAAUAUUAAAGAAAACUAGGUUUUUUCAUUCAUGUAGAGGUCUUAGUCAACCUCUUCCUCCUGAAAGUAUAUUAGAUCAUGACAAGAUCAUUUGGCUUGGAGAUUUGAAUUAUCGGCUAGCAGCAGGUUGUGGAGACACACAUGAGCUUCUAAAGAAGAAUGACUGGCAAGCACUUUUAGAAAAAGAUCAGCUAAAGAUAGAGCAAAGAGCUGGUCGAGUGUUCAAAGGAUGGGAAGAAGGGAGGAUAUAUUUUGCUCCAACUUACAAGUACCUUACCAAUUCAGAUCAUUACGUAGUCCAAACCUCAAAAUCCAAAGAGAAACGUCGCACUCCUGCUUGGUGCGACCGAAUCCUGUGGAAAGGUGAAGGUCUUAAACAGAUGUGGUAUGUAAGAGGGGAGUCAAGAUUCUCAGACCAUAGACCUGUCUAUUCUUUAUUCUCCGUCCAAGUCAGCCUGUCAUAUUCAAAAACAAGCCAAAAAUCAGGAAGAUCUUUAACAAGUUCUGUUUUGCAAUCUACUUGUGUGGCCAAAGUCCAAGCAGAGGAACUCUUGAUAAUUCCCAGGGCACAAUGCUGCAUAGACACAGCCCCCAGGUUAUAAUAAUCAUUGCUAUAAUAUGUAAUCUAAACCUCAUUUUGUAAAGCAAUAGUCCAGGCACCGCCAGACACUUCCAACGUCACCGGCAUUUUUACGGUAUGGGAUGGCGUGCCCUGCAGUUUCCGUGAUGAUUAGACCAACAAGAACCUUUUUGUUGUUGUAUUAGUAGAAAAUUAUCAAAUGAAAAGAAAAGAAAAGUGCCAAGGGGUUUCGCGUGCCUGAAAUUUUUUACUUUAAAAUAUAUGGGAUUGAGAAAAGAAAACAUGGAGAUUAGGCUAUGUUUGUUAUACGAGUUUUGAAGUAAAAUAGCGCCUGAGCAAGAAUUGGGUCGAUCUCUGGGCUUCUUUUGAAUCAUUUGUGUUGAAGCUCCUGCAGGUGCAUAAGAAGAUGUUUGAUUUGCUUGUCAUUCUUAGAGAUUCUGAUUAAAAUGUAAAUUAAGAAGUACACAUCUCUUUCACAAGAAAUGGGAUUUUAAAUAUGAUAGUCUUGGGAGACUCAGUAAGCCUUUUGAAUUGUUAAUUUUGUUUUCG